GCUUCUGUGGCGCAAUCGGCUAGCGCGUCUGACUGUUAAUCAGGAGGUUGGUGGUUCAAGCCCACCCAGGAGC
rnacentral:tRNA from 1 species